rnacentral:rRNA from 1 species
UAUGCUUAACACAUGCAAGUCGAACGAAUUCCUUAGGGAAUUAGUGGCGGACGGGUGAGGUAACACGUGAGAACCUACCUUCAGAAUGGGGAUAACAGUCGGGAAACGACUGCUAAUACCCGAUGUGCCGAGAGGUGAAAGAUUUAUCGUCUGAAGAAGGGCUCGCGGCUGAUUAGCUAGUUGGUAGGGUAAAGGCUUACCAAGGCAACGAUCAGUAACUGGUCUGAGAGGAUGAGCAGUCACACUGGAACUGAGAAGCGGUCCAGACUCC